ncrna:unclassified sequences L31-Firmicutes ribosomal protein leader
CUCUGUUUCUAAAGGAUUCAGGGCAGAAAGAG